GCUUGAGACGUCUUUAUCUGAGGAGGAGGCUUCGUCGUCCGCUCCUUUACCAAUCACCAAAGAGCGAGAUGCGCAAGAGUGACCACUAAUCGUUGUUUCCAGAUACAGUUGCCGGUUGACAGACUUGUAUUGUAGUCGGCCCGGAAUGCAUCGGU
rnacentral:sRNA from 1 species